UCGAUGAAUUUCAUCCAAGAAGUUCUCCAGUUGUUCUAUUAGCAUUCGUUUUUUAAACCUGUAUAAAAAAAAUAAGUAAUAGCACUCUCAAUUUCUUUUUAAUGGAUAUAGAUCAGUAUAAUUUGUUUUGUUUUGUUUUUAAGACAGCAACUGUCUUGGGAAGAUUUUUCAAAGGAAAAUGAAAAUGGAAAAAAACAACUUAAUGAUAUAUAAAAUUCACUUGAAGAUCAGCAAAUUAUUUUAUCAGUGCAGAAUUACAGUUUGUUCCUGAAACAAAUAAUCUAGGCCCAGGUAUAAUGGAAGCAGGUUAUUUGUUCUACAUCCAAAAAGAAAAACAAAAAACCCCUAACAUUUACAAGGGUUAUAAAUAUUCCAAAAAAAUUUGGACUCCCAAAGCAAUGACUCCCAUAGCUUCUGAUGCUCUUUAAAGUUGAAUGUCGUGAAAGGAAUGUGAAAAAAGUAUGAGUAUAACCGCCACAAAACCAAAGAAGAAAUGAAUAGUUGGAUGGUAACAUUAAAAAAACCCUUGGGUUCCACUAUUAAAUUUGAGAGCUAGCAAAUCAAGGAUAAUUAGGUAUCUGUGGCUACAGGAUAUAGCAAACAUUUAACAUUCAAGGGGCAAUUUGAAAUUUUUUUCACUAAUACAGUAGACUAAAAUUGCAUUCGCCCACAUAAGUACUAAUACUGCUGCUGCUCACUGUCCAAUCUAUACCCACUUCCUUUCUAUUUGUAAAUUCAUAUACAUAGCUACCAUAAUAUUUCCAAUCUCCCUAAAAGGGGGCAGAAGUAGAGGGCAAGCACCAGGAAUAUAGCUAGAUCUAUGAUGAAGUCUGAGUUGAUAAAAUGUUACAUAAAGAAAAGAAUAGGUUAAAUAUUCAAAAUAAAUAACAUGAAAAGUUAUGGCCUUAUCUUGAACCUUCAAAGUGGCCUAUGCUCUAGCCACUCCAAAAAAAGAAAAAAAUUAACUGCUCUAUCUAAAAAUACCUUUAUGCGUACCAUGGAAGAAACUGGGCAACCAUUAAAGGGUGGGUAUAUUUAGAAGGUCAGAUAACACUAAGUUUUCUUAAAAUACUAAAGAAGUAUUAAAAGAAAAAUAAAUGUUUUUUGUACUCCCUAAACUCACAACUACAAUUUCCAGUUAAUUGCACUUCAUAGUUACCAUUUAUAAUCUUGAUCCACAUUCUUUGUAUUAAAGUACAUAAUCCUGGGCUACUGAAGCAAUUAUAGAAUAAGGCCCAUUUGUCCAACUCUGCUCCCCUUAAUUACACAUUUUCCCGUGUACAAAUGAACUGCAUCCAAUAUUGUCUUUCAAGGUUAUUUCUAAUCACUGAUUAAUAUUAACUAUAAUCCAAAUAUACAAAGGAGAAAAAUUAAAGGCUAAAAAAUACAAAGACCCC